AUGCUAGGCAGAUCCCAGGGCAAAAGCGAUAAUUCUAGCCUUCCGGUAACUGAAAGGGCUUUUCUUCUGAGUGCCAGAAGAACAGGAUCAGGUGAAGGUGAUGGGCGAUUGAUUAUGUGGCCUGUUACCGAAGACUAUCUCAAGCAAAGCUUCAAGCUCUCCCGCUGACCUCGAAGCCACAGGCCUAUAUGAGUUCUUCUGCCACUAGGAAACAAGUUCUGCAGACAAUCAGAAUGAGCAUCAAAGUGGAUUUGCUUAAGUCAGUCUCCCCACUCGACAGGAGCCCAGUGAGAUGAACCCAUAGCAGAGAAGCCAGUGAAACCACCAGUGAACCCAGAAUAACAGAAACUGACACUAGACACGAAUUAAUUCAAGCUUCAACGAUUGCAGUAAUUUGUUCAGAGAAAAUCAAUAGCCUUUCUUUAAAAUAUAUCCAGAAGCC
rnacentral:lncRNA from 1 species